UUGAAUUAUUCCCAAAUCAUCUAUUAAUUAUAUAAAUAAAAAUUUAUUUAACAUUGAGGUCAUGAUUUGUUUACUAACUCGCUGUAAACCCGGCAUUGCAUUGCCGGUUUCUGACAACGGACGAAAUCGAUAUACGGCCGAAAGGUCGCGAACGGAACGAUAAGGGGUUUUAACUUACAAAUCAAACGGAAGAGAAAGAUGAGGCAGAAGAACGUCGAAGAAGAGAGCGGCUACGUGGAGAACUUUCCUCUUGGACUCUACUCUGUACUCGACGCUCCACGACGUGCUCCGACGUUCUUGGAGCUCGCUCCUCGUCGUUACUGCGUCUACGAGUGAGUUUGUGAGCGAGACACGCAUGCGGCGCGCGCUUGACACAGGUGCGCUUCCACGAGGAGAGCGAGGAGGCCUGCUACUCUUCGCCGUCGUGCUCGUCGUCGAGUUGGAACUGCCGCCUGGUAGCGCGAGAUCAAAGCUUCGAUUUUAUCCGAGAGCCGUCAAAUAUUAACUGAUGACGAUUAGAAAGCGACUGCUGCCGUCGCGCCGUGUCGUAGUGUGUCGGAAUCCUUUCUGCGGACGCCAUAUUGGUACCGGUGCGGUACCGGUGCGGUGCUCGUCGCCUCUUUCGCUCUUCUACUGUGGUGGUUAUAUUUUCGUGGAGCUCCUUGACGAGGGAUCGGUUUACCUUACCGUGUACACACACACAGGCAUAUACCUAUCACAGUUAUCAUUUUGUUAGAAGGAGGGGAAUGAAGCUUGAAGUCGGAGGGUUAUAGUCAUGGUUACAGAGCACACACUAGGGUACCACUGAUAAGAGAAUCAGAGAGGGUAUAUGUAGCGACAAAGAUUAGCCGAGACAUUGCAUUAUCGUCGAAAAUACACAAGGAUGAACUUUCUUUCGGCCGUUCACUGACUCCUCGUCUAUCAUCAACUGUAUGUUUUUGUGAAUAUUAUGGAGGACCUAUAUUAAACGUAUAUUUGUAUGUGUAAUUUAAAUAAUCUAUUUCGAUAAUUCUAAAAAAAACAUCAUCUUUUAAAU